rnacentral:lncRNA from 1 species
CAGCUCCAGAAGAAUGAGCCUGCACAGCUUGGACUGUCACCUCUGGCAGGUUCCUGCUCUUUGAUGAAGCCUCGUCAUAAUUACAGGUGUUUGAAAGUUCCUCCAUUGAUCUUCUCUCUCCUGCUGCCUUGUCAAGAAGGUGCCUGCUUCCCCUUUGCCUUGCACCAUGAUUCUAAGUUUCCUGAGGCCUCCCCAGCCAUGUAAAACUAGCCUUAUCUUCAACAGCUGCUAAAAUUGAAGAACAAAAAGAAUCUUUGAAACUUCCCUUCAACUGGUCAUCCUCUUCCCUUUUUCUCUCCUUUAAACACUGUUCCAAUUCAUUAUGAUGGCCCCAAAGCAAAGACAGACAUGGAAGUGAACAUUGGAGUGGAAGGAAUGACGGGGAGCAAAGGUCUGCUUUCUUUCUAUCAUUCUUGUAUCAACUCUAAAUUGAAACCCAAAUCACUGAAAUCUAAAAAAUCACAUGAAAGCAAGUCAAUGACUAAAAGAAAAUGAAAUGAGAGAUCCUAUCAGAGAAAUAUGAAAGGGAAAAUACCACUGAUUAAAUAAGUUAUGGGAAAAAUAAAUCAUUACACCAUUAAAUGUAUACGUCGACAUACUGUAUGUUGUUAUGUGCUUAUUGUCUUUCACCAGUAGAAUGUAAGUCCCAUAAGGGUAAGGACUUUAUAUAUUCUUUUCACAGCAGUGUCUCUAGUGCAUGGAACAGUUCCUAGCACAAAAUAAACAGUUGUUGAAUAAGUGAA